rnacentral:miRNA from 1 species
CGUUUUAAAUGGUGAAAUUUGUAGAUUGGAGGGUAACCCUAGAACCCCUUUUUUGCCCAAAUUUGUGAUUUUCAACAUCCAAUUUGGGGAUUUGCUGAUUAUAGUGCU